rnacentral:rRNA from 1 species
CCUACGGGGGGCAGCAGUCGAGAAUCAUUCACAAUGGGGGAAACCCUGAUGGUGCGACGCCGCGUGGGGGAAUGAAGGUCUUCGGAUUGUAAACCCCUGUCAUGUGGGAGCAAAUUAAAAAGAUAGUACCACAAGAGGAAGAGACGGCUAACUCUGUGCCAGAAGCCGCGGUAAUACAGAGGGCUCAAGCGUUGUUCGGAAUGACUGGGCGUAAAGGGUGCGGAGGCUGUUUCGUAAGUCGUGUGUGAAAGGCGCGGGCUCAACCCGCGGACGGCACAUGAAACUGGGAGACUAGAGUAAUGGAGGGGGAACCGGAAUUCGCGGUGUAGCAGUGAAAUGCGUAGAUAUCGAGAGGAACACUCGUGGCGAAGGCGGGUUCCUGGACAUUAACUGACGCUGAGGCACGAAGGCCAGGGGAGCGAAAGGGAUUAGAUACCCGUGUAGUC